GUUCUCCUUUAAAAAUAGGUCUCAUUAAAGGCAGCUUGUCAUUCAAACUCUGUAAAUACAGAGUAUGAGCUGCUCAUUAGUAACAAGUGUGUGGGUGGCUGAGACUACAGCAUGCCAGAUAUCAAGGUACUCUGUAUCUCUUCAGGAACACCCCUACGGCAUCUCACAUAGCUACUGCAGAUCAACUUCAACCAUUCCAGAACAUCUCAAACUGAAACCUGUACUCUGAAGCAGAAGUGCCGAGGAAAUGCACAGAGACAAGGACUGAAAUUAUUUAUUGCUUUCUUCUGAUGCCUGGCCUGUCAGAUUUUCAAGGAGAGGGGAGUCUGCUACUUUUCUUGUGGCUGUAGUUUUACCCGUGCACUGGAAAAAUUAACCAGAACAGUAGCUUCGGUACUAAAAUUACUCUGACAGUGAGACAGAGGCAACUGGUCUUUUUAAAUGAAGAGAAAUGAGCUAUAACAAGCUUUCUUGUGUGGCAUGAAAACUGUUUGAUAGUAGAAAAGCUUAAUCCAUUUUUGAUUUUGCCAAACACCAGGAGGACACAGAAUGGUUGCACUCUCACCCAGGAGAGUGCAACAGAAAGUGGGGUGGCAUAUUUUAUUGGGGUCCUGUGAAGAAAAAAGAUGAAAGGUAAAGAGCAGGAGAAACCCUGAUGCAAAGGCAGAGAGUUUCCACUAGAUUCUGUGAUUAGCUUUUAUGGCCACACUUGAUAAAGAAUUUAUCUAUGAAAUCUAUUACCAACAUUUUUCAACCAGGAGAGAUUGUAAUAGCAGCAAUAAAUGGCUCUUUAUAAUAUGACAUUGUGCUGUUUUAUGCUUGUAACUGACUGCAAGACCUAAUCAAGGUAUGCUUUUACCAUUUAUAGAGCAGAGCUUAAAUUAUCAAGCCUUUACAGACCACUUAAAUAUUUUUAAAUAUUAAGUGUAAUCAAUUUCUGAAGUUCUUCUUAGGUCUCUAGUAUUCGCUAAUUUCCCUGGGUCUCCCAUCCUUACUCUUCGUGAUCCUGAACAGAUAGUAAGCACACUCCAUUUGUACCAGAUAGGUAGUUGAAUGUGAAAACUAAUAACUCCAGCCAGCAAAGCUGGCAGAAUAAUUAUGUCUUGAUUCAUAUGUUGAGGGGAAAACUCAAGCGCGUCUGAAGAAAAUGAGCUGCAGCAGUUAAUCUACCGUGUGCGGUGACUAAUUUCAUUGGAGAACUGAAAGUAAAAUGAAAACCUUGUGCUAGGAGCUUAAUGAGGAGAUCUUUGCUAAACAAAAAUGUUGACCCUCCUGGCAAUGUAACGUGUGAACAGAGAAAUUAGAUUGUCUUCUUUCAGGCCCCUGACCUGAGAGGAAAGCUGAUGUGACUUUUGUAUGGAAAACUGAUCGAUGACUAUGGCCUGUCAAUGGAUCUUAAUUGGAAAACAAAGCAAAGAAAUGAAUGUUUUGAUUGCA